rnacentral:rRNA from 1 species
GUGCUAAUCUGCGAUAAGCGCCGGUAAGGUGAUAUGAACCGUUAUAACCGGCGAUACCCGAAUGGGGAAACCCAGUGUGACUCGUCACACUAUCAUUAACUGAAUCCAUAGGUUAAUGAGGCGAACCGGGGGAACUGAAACAUCUAAGUACCCCGAGGAAAAGAAAUCAACCGAGAUUCCCCCAGUAGCGGCGAGCGAACGGGGAGGAGCCCAGAGCCUGAAUCAGCAUGUGUGUUAGUGGAAGCGUCUGGAAAGGCGCGCGAUACAGGGUGACAGCCCCGUACACAAAAGCGCAUGUGCUGUGAGCUCGAUGAGUAGGGCGGGACACGUGGUAUCCUGUCUGAAUAUGGGGGGACCAUCCUCCAAGGCUAAAUACUCCUGACUGACCGAUAGUGAACCAGUACCGUGAGGGAAAGGCGAAAAGAACCCCGGCGAGGGGAGUGAAAAAGAACCUGAAACCGUGUACGUACAAGCAGUGGGAGCACCCUUUGGGUGUGACUGCGUACCUUUUGUAUAAUGGGUCAGCGACUUAUAUUCUGUAGCAAGGUUAACCGAAUAGGGGAGCCGGAGGGAAACCGAGUCUUAACCGGGCGUUAAGUUGCAGGGUAUAGACCCGAAACCCGGUGAUCUAGCCAUGGGCAGGUUGAAGGUUGGGUAACACUAACUGGAGGACCGAACCGACUAAUGUUGAAAAAUUAGCGGAUGACCUGUGGCUGGGGGUGAAAGGCCAAUCAAACCGGGAGAUAGCUGGUUCUCCCCGAAAGCUAUUUAGGUAGCGCCUCGUGAAUUCAUCUCCGGGGGUAGAGCACUGUUUCGGCUAGGGGGCCAUCCCGGCUUACCAACCCGAUGCAAACUGCGAAUACCGGAGAAUGUUAUCACGGGAGACACACGGCGGGUGCUAACGUCCGUCGUGAAGAGGGAAACAACCCAGACCGCCAGCUAAGGUCCCAAAGUCAUGGUUAAGUGGGAAACGAUGUGGGAAGGCCCAGACAGCCAGGAUGUUGGCUUAGAAGCAGCCAUCAUUUAAAGAAAGCGUAAUAGCUCACUGGUCGAGUCGGCCUGCGCGGAAGAUGUAACGGGGCUAAACCAUGCACCGAAGCUGCGGCAGCGACACUGUGUGUUGUUGGGUA